GAUGAACGCUAGCUACAGGCUUAACACAUGCAAGUCGAGGGGCAGCAUUAUCGAAGCUUGCUUUGAUAGAUGGCGACCGGCGCACGGGUGAGUAACGCGUGAGUAACCUGCCUUAGACUGGGGGAUAACACUUAGAAAUAGGUGCUAAUACCGCAUAAGCGCACAGUGCCGCAUGGCACAGUGUGAAAAACUCCGGUGGUCUAAGAUGGACUCGCGUCUGAUUAGCUAGUUGGUGAGGUAACGGCCCACCAAGGCGACGAUCAGUAGCCGGCCUGAGAGGGUGAACGGCCGCAAUGGGACUGAGACACGGCCCAUACUCC
rnacentral:rRNA from 1 species